UCAUCUUCCUGAAGGAGAGAAACUUUGCGGGUUAUUCUUACAGGCAAGUUUUAGCUUAUUAACUCUAGUAACUCUAUAAAGGGUCUGAAGUUUAGCUAAAGUUCGAAUUCGAUUGUGGAGCUCUGGGUACUUAAUGUACUUUUUCUAUUUUGUCAACAUUUGUCUCGGAAUUUUAAGAGCGCUCUAUUGAUCUCGAAAAUAAUUUGAAGGUUUUUUUUUACAUCUUAGAGUUGUCGAAUAAGUCGUACUACCUCUGCACUGCCAUAUAUCCCGCGACUCAACUAAUUUCGCGUUGUUUUUCUCAUUAGUUGGUCCUGAUACUGUUACAGUGAGUCACGCACAAAUUCGGUUUAAUUCCGGUAAUUGUGAUGUAAAAGAUGUUUCACGCAGUGGAAGGCCAGUUGUCGAAAACGCCAAUAAAAUUAUGGACAUUAUCGAGUUCGACCAUCACGCAAUCAUUGUUUCGUUUGCCCAAGAGCUAAAGUUUGCACAAAAAACCAUUUGGAGCCAUUUGAAUAAGGGUGAACACGAAAAGAAAAAAUUUUACCUACAAUUUGUGCAGAAAUAUGGAUUUCUUUUUACUACUUCUCAUAUUUGGUUAGACAUCCUCGAUCUUUUUCUCGAGCAUCUGUAGUCAACAAAAAACUGCCAAAAUUCUUUAGUUCUUAAUUUUUGCCAAAACAUACCUAUUUCAUUGUCCAGCUCAGCUUGUGGGAUAAUUUUUUAGACACGCCGCUAUAUUUUUGAAGAAAUAAAAUGUUUAUGAUUGAAAAGAA